ensembl:lncRNA
UUAUUUACUAAUAAAUAAUGUUUUCUGAGUCAGUGUUGCAAGGUUGAAGUUGCUGAUCCUGACUUGCCACCUCUUCAUUAUAUUAUGCCUUUAGAGAGAAGUGCAUCUUUACGGAUUAAGAUUAUGAUUAUAAUAAUGUAAAAUUACUCUCUAUAAUGCUGAUAAAUUGUCUCUGCAGUUUCAACAUCAACCACUACUGAACAAACUACUUCAACAACCAUGAAAACCUGUGAGUAAUUGAGUUUGUAAAUCAGUUAUUCUUACUCCAUUCUGAAUGUCCUGAAAACGACAAUCAUUCUUUUAAGCUCAUGAGUAUUUGUCGAUCAUUUACUACACAUACGGUACAUCACCACACAUUUCACAAUGUCUUUUCACCAGCAUUAACCGUAAUGUCCACUUCUGAGAGUACAACAUACAGUAAAACUGGUAAGUUGCUAAUAAUAGCUUUUCUGGUUAUUUUAGAUUAAAUCUGAUAAAUUAUUUCCUUCUAAAAACUGAUGGCUCUUGCAAUGUUAUUUUUAUAUUAGCAGACCUCCAAACCAAGAUAAACCCACCAAUCAGUACAGCAAAGGAAACCAUGAAUACAUUGUUAAUAGUGCUGGUCUCCAUUGGUGUUGCUGGAAGUUUGUCUGGACUCAUGGGACUCAUCUGUCUGUGCCGGUUUGCAUGUAAAAAAAGAAGAAAACCCAUUAAAAUGAGAUCAAUAAAAACAGAUGUGCCCAUUCAAGAAACUGGUAUAAGUUGUUCUGGAUCUGCAGAGAUGUAUUCUCUGAUCACUUCUGUACCAGAAACAUCUCAGCCCAUAUCUGCAGGCCUCGAACACCCAGAAUCACAUCUGGACAGUACAGCAGAUCCCACAAAACACAUUAUGUCUGUAAAUGUAAUUUACCAGCCCUCAGAUGUUUUGAUCAAUAAACAACAGAAACAGGGAAAUCCAGAAGAAAACGAGAAUGUUUAUAACAUGUACAGCACGAUCCCUGAAAACCAGUCCACUCAAAUGCAGGCGAUUAAUCCUACAGUUUGGUGAAGAUGUCUUGUUUCAUUAUGUACUGUACAUGCAUUGAAGUAUCUUUACUUGCAGACAAACAAAUUUUAAUUUUCAUCUUUUAUGCAAUGUGACCUUUAUUGAGAGGAUCCUCUGUGGCAAGGCCACAGAGAAGAACUUACUGCACAAUAAAAGCUAAAAUGUAAAUAUGUAAUGAUAAUUG